rnacentral:rRNA from 1 species
UGACGCUGGCGGUAGGCUUAACACAUGCAAGUCGUGCGAGAAAAUAUCUUCGGAUAUGAGUAGAGCGGCGAACGGGUGAGUAACGCGUAGGAAUGUACCUAGUAGAAGGGGAUAGCCCGAGGAAACUCGGAUUAAUACCGUAUACCUCCUUCGGGAGAAAGAAGGCCUCUCUUUGAAGCUUUCGCUAUUAGAUCAGCCUGCGUAAGAUUAGCUUGUUGGUGAGGUAAUGGCUCACCAAGGCUACGAUCUUUAGCUGGUCUGAGAGGACGAUCAGCCACAUUGGGACUGAGACACGGCCCAGACUCCUACGGGAGGCAGCAGUGGGGAAUAUUGGACAAUGGGCGCAAGCCUGAUCCAGCCAUACCGCGUGUGUGAAGAAGGCCUUCGGGUUGUAAAGCACUUUAAGCAGGGAGAAAAAAAUAUAGGUUAAUACCCUAUGUUCUUGAUGUUACCUGCAGAAUAAGCACCGGCUAAUUCCGUGCCAGCAGCCGCGGUAAUACGGAAGGUGCAAGCGUUAAUCGGAAUUACUGGGCGUAAAGCGCGCGUAGGUGGUUUGUUAAGUUGGAUGUGAAAGCCCUGGGCUCAACCUAGGAACUGCAUCCAAAACUGGCUAACUAGAGUACGAUAGAGGGAGGUAGAAUUCAUAGUGUAGCGGUGGAAUGCGUAGAUAUUAUGAAGAAUACCAGUGGCGAAGGCGGCCUCCUGGAUCUGUACUGACACUGAGGUGCGAAAGCGUGGGUAGCGAACAGGAUUAGAUACCCUGGUAGUCCACGCCGUAAACGAUGACAACUAGCUGUUGGGAGGCAAAGCCUUUCAGUGGCGCAGCUAACGUUUUAAGUUGUCCGCC